UGGGCUUAUAUGCCUAUGAAAAUUAUUAUACAACUUUCAGCAACGGAUCUCUUGGCUCUCGCAUCGAUGAAGAACGCAGCGAAAUGCGAUAAGUAAUGUGAAUUGCAGAAUUCAGUGAAUCAUCGAAUCUUUGAACGCAUCUUGCGCUCCUUGGUAUUCCGAGGAGCAUG
rnacentral:rRNA from 1 species